UACGUAGGGGGCAAGCGUUGUCCGGAUUUAUUGGGCGUAAAGCGCGUGUAGGCGGCCAGAUAGGUCUGCUGUGAAAACUCGAGGCUCAACCUCGAGCUGUCGGCGGAAACCAUCUGGCUAGAGUCCGGAAGAGGAGAGUGGAAUUCCUGGUGUAGCGGUGAAAUGCGCAGAUAUCAGGAAGAACACCAAUGGCGAAAGCAGCUCUCUGGGACGGUACUGACGCUGAGACGCGAAAGCGUGGGGAGCGAACAGG
rnacentral:rRNA from 1 species